GCGGUAGAGGAGCGUCGUGUACGCCGAUGAAGGUGGAUCGAGAGGUCUGCUGGAGGUAUCACGAGUGCGAAUGCUGACAUGAGUAACGACAAGGGGCGUGAAAAACGCCCCCGCCGGAAGACCAAGGGUUUCUGUUCGACGCUAAUCGGAGCAGAGUGAGUCGGCCCCUAAGGCGAGGCCGAAAGGCGUAGUCGAUGGGAAACGGGUCAAUAUUCCCGUACCUCACUGUAUUGCGAUGGGGGGACGAAGAAGGCUAGGUGAGCCAGGCGUUGGUAGUCCUGGUGAAAGUCAGUAGGCUGGGGAAUCAGGCAAAUCCGGUUCCCCAAGGCCGAGAGACGAGACGAACAGCCCACGGGCUGGAAGUCAUCGAUGCCACGCUUCCAGGAAAAGCCUCUAAGCUUCAGAUACAGUGGGACCGUACCCCAAACCGACACAGGUGGUCAGGUAGAGAAUACCCAGGCGCUUGAGAGAACUCGGGUGAAGGAACUAGGCAAAAUGGUGCCGUAACUUCGGGAGAAGGCACGCCGGACUAGGGUGACGGGCCUCGCGCCCCGAGCCUGAACCGGUCGAAGAUACCAGGUGGCUGCAACUGUUUAUUAAAAACACAGCACUCUGCAAACGCGCAAGCGGACGUAUAGGGUGUGACGCCUGCCCGGUGCCGGAAGGUUAAGUGAUGGUGUUAGCGCAAGCGAAGCUCCUGAUCGAAGCCCCGGUAAACGGCGGCCGUAACUAUAACGGUCCUAAGGUAGCGAAAUUCCUUGUCGGGUAAGUUCCGACCUGCACGAAUGGCGUAAUGAUGGCCACGCUGUCUCCACCCGAGACUCAGUGAAAUUGAAAUCGCAGUGAAGAUGCUGUGUACCCGCGGCUAGACGGAAAGACCCCGUGAACCUUUACUAUAGCUUCACACUGGACGCUGAUGUUGCUUGUGUAGGAUAGCUGGGAGGCUUGGAAACCCGGACGCCAGUUCGGGUGGAGCCAACCUUGAAAUACCAGCCUGGCAUCAUUGGCGUUCUAACUCAGAUCCGUGAUCCGGAUCGAGGACCGUGUGUGGUGGGUAGUUUGACUGGGGCGGUCUCCUCCCAAAGCGUAACGGAGGAGCACGAAGGUACCCUCAGCACGGUUGGAAAUCGUGCAUUGAGUGCAAGAGCAUAAGGGUGCUUAACUGCGAGACAGACACGUCGAGCAGGUACGAAAGUAGGUUCUAGUGAUCCGGUGGUUCUGUAUGGAAGGGCCAUCGCUCAACGGAUAAAAGGUACUCCGGGGAUAACAGGCUGAUACCGCCCAAGAGUUCACAUCGACGGCGGUGUUUGGCACCUCGAUGUCGGCUCAUCACAUCCUGGGGCUGAAGUCGGUCCCAAGGGUAUGGCUGUUCGCCAUUUAAAGUGGUACGCGAGCUGGGUUUAGAACGUCGUGAGACAGUUCGGUCCCUAUCUGCCGUGGGCGUUGGAUGUUUGAGAAGGGCUGCUCCUAGUACGAGAGGACCGGAGUGGACGCACCUCUGGUGUUCCGGUUGUCACGCCAGUGGCAUUGCCGGGUAGCUAUGUGCGGACGGGAUAACCGCUGAAAGCAUCUAAGCGGGAAGCCCCCUUCAAGAUGAGACAUCCCCGAGGCCUCGAGCCUCCUGAAGGGCCCAGCGAGACCAGCUGGUUGAUAGGCCGGGUGUGGAAGCGCUGCAAGGCGUUGAGCUAACCGGUACUAAUGGCCCGUGAGGCUUGACCAU
rnacentral:rRNA from 1 species